rnacentral:rRNA from 1 species
AGCGAACGCUGGCGGCAGGCCUAACACAUGCAAGUCGAACGAACUCUUCGGAGUUAGUGGCGGACGGGUGAGUAACACGUGGGAACGUGCCUUUAGGUUCGGAAUAACUCAGGGAAACUUGUGCUAAUACCGAAUGUGCCCUUCGGGGGAAAGAUUUAUCGCCUUUAGAGCGGCCCGCGUCUGAUUAGCUAGUUGGUGAGGUAAAGGCUCACCAAGGCGACGAUCAGUAGCUGGUCUGAGAGGAUGAUCAGCCACAUUGGGACUGAGACACGGCCCAAACUCCUACGGGAAGCAGCAGUGGGGAAUCUUGCGCAAUGGGCGAAAGCCUGACGCAGCCAUGCCGCGCGAAUGAUGAAGGUCUUAGGAUUGUAAAAUUCUUUCACCGGGGACGAUAAUGACGGUACCCGGAGAAGAAGCCCCGGCUAACUUCGUG